UGGCACUUCCCACUUUUCUCUUUCUCUCCCCUCCCUCCAUGCCAGAUGAACACCAGCAAUAGCUCUGCGAGGAGUGUGCUUCCCCUUCAGCCAUGACUGUGAGUUUCCUGAGGCCUCCCCAGCCACGCGGAACUGAUGGAGUAAUUACUUACAAAGAAGGCAUGUAAGAAGAAAGCAAGGAAGAGCAGAACAGCUUGAAACAACAAAGCGGAGAUGCAAAAGGUCUGUCUUGGGAGAUGGCCAUCAAUGUGUCCUUCUAAAAAUACAGAAUUAUUAACAGUUUGGUUUUGUGUCAUUGAUCCUUGGAGCAAGUGAUGGAAAUUAUAGGUUAGUAUUGACAUGAAUAAAAUAUUUUGGAAUAACCUGAAUAGUAUGCUUUCCCCUGUCACAUUCUUAGAGAAGUUAAUAAAGAAUCAUGAAGAUAUUGCAACAAUUGGAAGCAGACUUGGGGUUUGUUUUCAAUAGUAAAAGAUAAGUAGAUGAAAAUUGGAAUUUAUAACUCAAGCAGUAUUUCCGAGCCUCAGCAUGUGAUGAGAGUACACCACAUUCAAUUGCUUAGAAGAGGCAUAAAGGGAAGACGAGAGGGCUAACUAUUGAAACAUGAGAGGUUUGUUCUUGUUGUUUAUGUGCAUGUGUUUUUAAAAAUAAAUCUAAAGACUAAAAGCCAACAUUUCAGGAGGUCUCCAUUUGUUUAGAAACAUUACCCAUUUCUGCAGUGAGAACACAUGCAUAAUUUAUGGAAGUGCCAGAAUGUCCAAAUGUUUCUAACUGUCCCUUAUAGCUGACUUUCUUCAUGUACAGGAUCUGACCUGGAAUUUGUACCAAACAUAAUCUCAUACCAGAACAGACCAUACGCGUACCAAAAAACAAAAAAAAAAAAAAAAACAAACAAGAACUAAGCAUAAAUAUUCAUUCUAGGCUCAUCUACAAACUGAACAUAGGUAGAUUGAUGUGAAUUUGUUCAUUUUGUUUAUUAUACCUAAUUAGACUGCUUAAUUUUCCUAUAAGCUACAUCAGAAUCUGUGUUUCAUUUAGGCCAACCUCUCACCUGCUAAUCACCUGGCGACAUAAAUUCAGACACACAUAGCUGUGAUUUUGAAAAGGAAUCUGGGAAACUUCAUGACAUUUCAGGAGAGAAAAGCUUUCUUGAUUUCUGUGUAUAGCCAAGAAUAAUUUUAAAAGUAUGCAAGCCACAGAAUUCCAGAAGUAUAUUUUAUGUUAUCAGAAACUGAUCUUCACAUCAUAGUUCAUUAAACUGGUUGCAUAGUUUACACACAGGUAAACCAUCUUACCUCAAGACUGGAAAAAUAUCUGCACUAGAAGUAGAAGAAAUUAAAAAACUGAACACAUGAGUACCUCUUGAGUUAAGAAUGCCAAAAUAUUGACAUAAACAUUCCAAAGCAGACAGGAUCUCUAUCGCGCUAUCCUUUCUGAAACUACGUUUUCUCCCAAAGCCCUUAUCAAAUGCCCCUCCUCACAUAAGCUCCCCACUCUAGGGGGUAAUAGAGUCCUUCUAGGGCUUUGGUAAUCCCUGAUAGCCACAGAGGGAAUCUGUGUAUUUCAUCCACACUAACUCCUUCCUUUUCUUUCAGAAAAAUAAUGAACAAAGCGUGGUUUCCCUUUGGAUUGAAAUGUGCCCUGUACAUGCAAGCUGUGAGUCCUCGAGCAGGAUGCAGAAUCUUUCUCAGCCUCAGUUUCCUUUUCUGUACAACAAAGAUGAUAUCUGUCUCAUAGGAUGAUGGUGGUGACUAAGCUAGGUAGGAUCUGCUCAAGACCUAACACAUCCCGGGGUCUCUCUCCCGGCCCCUUUCCCAGCUAAUUCCCCUCCUCCCAGCCUCACCAGGAUCCAGGCACAUCCUGGCAGCUCUGCCAUCUUCCAGUUCCUAACUGUUCCUCAGCAUGCAUCCUCUUUCCUCUGUUUUCAUUCCUCUUCUUAAGCAUUCUUUUUUAUUCUUCCUAGGCUCUUUUAAGUAAACCUUUAAGACUGAAGUAUAACAUAAAUGCAGAAAAGAUCACAAAUUGCAAGUGCCCAGAUAAUUUUGGGGAACACACAUCUGUGCAAUCUGAAUUCAACUCAAGAAGUCAAUCACUGCCAGCACCCCAGAAGCCUCCCUUGCAUACAGAACCCACACACCCAGAGCAAAUCUCCAUUCUGAUUUAUCUUACUGUAGAUUAAUUUUGCCUGGACUAUAUGACGCGUACUCUUUAGGGACUAGCUUUAUUCAUUCACCGUCAUAUCUGUGAAAGUCUCCCUUGCUGUUUGGUAAUUUUACUGCUGCAUAGCAGGGGUUAGCCAACACUUUCUUAAAGAGCCGUGUAGUAAGUAUUGUGCCUUGCAGGCCGAAGGAGUCUCUCUGGCGGUGUAGCACAAAAAGCAGCCACAGACAAUACAUAAGGAAAUGAACCUUGUCGUGCUCUAAUACAAAUGCAUUUAUGGACACUGAGAUUUGACUUUUAUAUAACCUUCACAUGGCAUAAAAUCUUCUACUUUCAAAAAUUUUACAUCUAAAAUGUAAGAACCUUUUUUAGUUUGCAGGCUGUAAGAAGCAGGCGAUGGGCCAGAUUCGACCUACAGGAUGGAGUUUGCAGACUCAUGCUGCAUAGUGUUCUUUCGCACGAAUGUACCGUCGUUCAUUUAUGCAUUCUACUCUUCGCAAAUGUUUUCUUUCAAGUUUUGAUACAAAAAAAAAAAGAUUUCUAUUAAAGCUGAUACAUAUAAAAGCAGUGGCAGUGAUAAUCCCACAUCUAAAAGAAAAUGAACGCCAUUAAUUUUUAAGGAAAAUUGGAUAUUUAAGGGAAAAAUUUCUUUUUUUAGUCAACAGCUAAUAUUUUUAAAGAUACAUGUAUUAAUAAAUCUCCUUUGGAAAAUCCACAAAAUUGCCUAUCAUUUCAUUUUCCCAUAAUAAAAUCUGCUUCAUCUGCUUUAUCUCAAUAUGAGUAUUUCCCUCAAAAGUAGAGGAGGCAACGCUCUAAUUCAUUUUUGUUUCAACUUUGGGCAUCGCAAAACCUUGUUCUGUUUCAUGUGGUCAUUGCAUCUGUGUGGAUUUUCAAAUGUUUUACUAGCACAAUGGGCUUGGAUAGAGUGAUUUGGGGUCUUAUCACCCUCUAGUUCCAAUAGUGUCUAUUACACAGGCAAUUUAAAAAUUCAGGAUUGCCUAUAAAGAUAGUUCAUUUAACUUUCUUUAAAAAAAAAAAAAACUACUUCCCCUUAAACUCCAAUAACUGAUAAGGAGAUAAUACAGGCUAUUGUGGAGGAAAGAACGUCUAUGCAAACCCAAUCCUGGCACUGUGAGGCGUGCUGCUGGUCUUGACAAACCUUGCUCUAAUUAGGGGCAUAUCACAAACACUUCUGAAACUUUAGAAAAGGAUUCGAGGUGGUAUGUGAUGAGGUACCAAGUGAGUCUAAGAGACGACCUGCACUCAAGAGCCCAGAGGUGGGAGACAUCGGCACCGGAGUGUAUAGGACGGAAUGGACUGAUGAGUGUCAGGGAGAAGGCUAGAACUGAGCUCUGCUUUUCAGAAUGGACACGGGGGAGGAGCCUUGUAGAUGAAAGGUCAUCUUGAACAGAGGAGAUAAUAUGAGCCAAAGAACAGGGUGCAGGAACAAAGCAAAGUGGACUUCCUUGUCAGAGGAAAACCCCAUAGUGAGACCUAGGUAGAAGCUGGAGGUAGACUGCAGUCAGAGUUUGGUAGGUUAGGAAGACCGAAGAGUAAAGGAUUGAUAACAGCAACAUUUUUAGGAAUGAUUGACCCCAAAGCCAGACUAGAUGGAAAAAAAAAAAAAAAA